rnacentral:rRNA from 1 species
CCUACGGGAGGCAGCAGUGGGGAAUAUUGGACAAUGGGGGGAACCCUGAUCCAGCGACGCCGCGUGAGUGAAGAAGUAUUUCGGUAUGUAAAGCUCUAUCAGCAGGGAAGAAAAUGACGGUACCUGACUAAGAAGCCCCGGCUAACUACGUGCCAGCAGCCGCGGUAAUACGUAGGGGGCAAGCGUUAUCCGGAUUUACUGGGUGUAAAGGGAGCGUAGACGGUGCAGCAAGUCUGAUGUGAAAGGUCGGGGCCGAAGCCCGGGACUGCAUGGGAAACUGUUGAACUGGAGUGCAGGAGAGGUAAGCGGAAGUGCUAGGGGAGCGGGGAAAUGCGUAGAUAUUAGGAGGAACACCAGUGGCGAAGGCGGCUUACUGGACUGUAACUGACGUUGAGGCUCGAAAGCGUGGGGAGCAAACAGGAUUAGAUACCCUUGUAGUC